GAUGAAGAACGUAGCGAAAUGCGAUAAGUAAUGUGAAUUGCAGAAUUCAGUGAAUCAUCGAAUCUUUGAACGCACAUUGCGCCCCCUGGUAUUCCGGGGGACAUGCCUGUUCGAGCGUCAUUUCACCACUCAAGCCUCGCUUGGUAUUGGGCAACGCGGUCCGCCGCGUGCCUCAAAUCGACCGGCUGGGUCUUCUGUCCCCUAAGCGUUGUGGAAACUUUCGCUAAAGGGUGUUCGGGAGGCUACGCCGUAAAACAACCCCAUUUCUAAGGUUGACCUCGGAUCAGGUAGGGAUACCCGCUGAACUUAAGCAUAUCAAUAAGCGGAGGA
rnacentral:misc_RNA from 1 species